GGUGUUACAAAAAUCUUCAAGUGGCCAACCAUUAAUACGUUCCACCGAUCAAAACUAGUUUUGGUCAAAGCUCCAAACGAUUUCAAAUACCCCCACACGUGGUAUACGUAAAUCCUUACACACAAAUAAAUCUCGGGAGAUCAAAUAUAAGCAAGACAAAUGUAUACGACCUCUUGGUCGAAACUCUGUUGAUUGCAACGCAACAUAUGCUCCAACGGAGAAACUCCCCCAAGAAAAAUGUCUAAAACUUGGAGGAUGUCUUUGAAUU
rnacentral:lncRNA from 1 species